AUGGCCAUAUCACAUUGAAACACCAGUUCUCAUCUGAUCACUGAAGUUAAGCAGCAUUGAACCAAUUCAGUACCUAGAUGGGUGACCACUCAGGAAA